rnacentral:rRNA from 1 species
CGGAGGAUGCAAGCGUUAUCCGGAAUUAUUGGGCGUAAAGCGUCCGCAGGUGGCAAUUCAAGUCUGCUGUUAAAGGUUCUGGCUCAACCAGAAACAGGCAGUGGAAACUGAAUAGCUAGAGUGCGGUAGGGGCAGAGGGAAUUCCCAGUGUAGCGGUGAAAUGCGUAGAGAUUGGGAAGAACACCGGUGGCGAAAGCGCUCUGCUAGGCCGUAACUGACACUCAUGGACGAAAGCUAGGGAGCGAAUGGGAUU